AUUAAUACCGCAUGAGACCACAGAAUCGCAUGAUAUAGGGGUCAAAGAUUUAUCGGUGUAAGAAGGGCUCGCGUCUGAUUAGCUAGUUGGAAGGGUAAAGGCCUACCAAGGCGACGAUCAGUAGCCGGUCUGAGAGGAUGAACGGCCACAUUGGAACUGAGACACGGUCCAAACUCCUACGGGAGGCAGCAGUGGGGAAUAUUGCACAAUGGGGGGAACCCUGAUGCAGCGACGCCGCGUGAGCGAAGAAGGUUUUCGAAUCGUAAAGCUCUGUCCUAUGAGAAGAUAAUGACGGUAUCGUAGGAGGAAGCCCCGGCUAAAUACGUGCCAGCAGCCGCGGUAAUACGUAUGGGGCGAGCGUUGUCCGGAAUUAUUGGGCGUAAAGGGUACGUAGGCGGUUUUUUAAGUCAGGUGUGAAAGCGUGAGGCUUAACCUCAUUAAGCACUUGAAACUGGAAGACUUGAGUGAAGGAGAGGAAAGUGGAAU
rnacentral:rRNA from 1 species